CUUCGUUAUAGACCAGAAGAAAUGGUUCGUAUUAUUAACUUAUUCAGAUUAAAGCUUCCCCCGAUUAUUACAUAAUUUCGUGAAUUGUUGCGUUCGGAUGAAAGGAAAUGCCGAAUUCUGUUGCAUUUGCUGCGGCCAUUUAGUGUGCUUCGAGCAUUCACCUAUUCGUACCGCUUUACAGAUUGCUAAAUCGUGUAUUGACAGAAGAACAUAGUAAUAGGCGUGGCGUGUUUCAGUGUACUUUCGUAAAAACAUUUAGCAACAGGGUUUUGGAGUUGUGUAACAAACGAAGUAGGUUCAGUAAGAGCUGCUAGUACGUGUAUUUUUCACUAAGUGCACUAUUCGAUAUCAGAGAAUAGAAGAUUCGUCACCAGUGGUACGUACGUCAGAGAAAACGUAGGCCUAGACAAGACUAUAGUCCUGGACAAUUUGAAAACCAUUUGUCAAAGAAGAAAAAAUAGAUGAGAUGUGUGCUAAGCCAGACACCAUGAAGUGACUGUAAUGGCAGAGAUGAAGGCUGAGAGAGGGAGUUUUGUGAGCGACCUGCGCAUGCUGCUGGGAGCUUAAAAUGGCGCAGACGUGACUCUGGCGCCCAGGGGCUCGGAGCAGUCAGCACACAGUCACAUCUUGGCAGGGAGGAGCCCAGUCUUCGAAGCCAUGUUGUGUUUCUUGCAUGUCACUUCACAACAUGGCUGCGAACACGGGGCUUCUUGCUGGCAUGUCGCAGAUUGAAAUGCAAGAAGCAUGCAGCAGAGGUAACUGACAUAAGAGAUGCUCCCUUACAGCAGUCGUGAAACGGUCCCUAACCAUACCGUAACCUGCAUUAUAGUCCAACAACACUGUGGACUGAACUGUCCAAAAUAACAGCAAGUGUGUUACAUUGGGAUAUGGAAUAUCUUGCGUGGAUUAUUUUGCCUUCUCUUGACCCUGAAUAUUUAUAAAAGAACCAACUCGCGAUAAUAAAAAACUACACAUCUUUAAGUAAUUGCAGCUACAGCUAAAGGAUAAUUUGAAACAUUAUACAAAAAACUAAAUAUCAUAAUGUCAAUCAGAUUCAUUUAGGACUAAUCAUUCUUUUUCAUAUUUCCGUUUGUGAUAUACACUGAAGAGCCAAAGAAAUUGGUACACCUGCUUAAUAUCUUUUAGGGCUCCCGAGAGCAUGCAAAUGCGCUGCAGUGUGACAUGGUGUGGACUACACUAACAUCUGUAGUAAUGCUCGAAGAACUGACACCACGAAUGUUGCAGGGCUGUCCAUAAAUCCAUAAGAGUGUAAGGGGUGGAGAUCUCUUCUGAACAGCACGUUGCAAGGCAUCCCAGAUAAGCUCAGUAAUGUUCAUCUCUG